rnacentral:lncRNA from 1 species
ACGAAAUUCUUUUGAGGGGUGGAGAAUGUAACAUACCAGAUUUUGGUAUAAAAAUCAAAAUAAAUAAAAAUAGUGUGAGAAACUAUUUUUAUUUGGAUUUGUAGGAGUAAAACAUAAGUCAGAAGUGACUUAUGCUGAAAUCAGAAUGAAAACAGAAGAUCUAAAAUUUUUUGUUAGAAAUGGGACAGAUAAAUUAGCAGAAAAUGCACAGUCUCAGAAAAUUAUGAAAAUUGGAGGAUAAGUCAGAAAUAUUUUUAUGAGGCUAGAUUUAAAGUUUCACAUUUUUCUG